UGGCGAGAUCCGGCUCGCAGAUCGCAGUCAGAGCCGUGUCACCGGGCAUAACGUCUCGAAUGGUCCCUGUCCCUCCGGCGGCCGGCCGGCCCUGCACUCAUAGUCUGCGCUGCCUUGGUACGUCCGGCGCCGCGCAGCACUAGCAGCAGUGCUGGAUGUGUCACCUGACAAAUUCCUUCGGCGAAGGUACUACUGCGGUUAGGUUGGAGAGGAGAGGAGGAGGUGUGGGUGCAUGCAAUGCAAGCAUGGCGACCCGAUGGGCGGGCAUGGCGACAGGUAUCUCUGUAGAUCUGGAUCGUGCACCGUGCUGUCCUGGCUGGGGCGGAAAGCAAGGAUCGCGCGCGGAUGGACAGGUUGGGGCCUUCAGCCUUGGGGGUGGUGCUUCUGUGGGCAGCGCGGCGGCGGGGUCCGUCCGGCUGCCGCAUCGAGUGCGUCGUCGUCGUCCGCGUUUGCGGCGUCCACAUGACAACGAUGUCUCGCCAACAAAGGACCAACAUGUACAGCGAGCAAUUUUCUCUGCCAAACAAGCGACCAUUGGACCAGCAGCAGCGCAGCGGCAGGCCGCAGAUGACGCCUGGAACGCCAUCCUCCGCGGCCGCCUCAGCCUCGACGGCGGCGGCGGAUCGUUCCCCGACCUGGCCGCCGCGCGCGUCAGGCGCCGAGGCCGCGUCGACCAGCACCCGCGCCUGUUUGCAUCAGCGUGCAGUGGCCACCCCAGCGCGCCCAGCAACUCGCGCGGCGGCAGCCCGGCCUGACGUCACGGCGCCGCUGGGCGGGGUACUCGGCCUCGGCGUCCUCAGCGCCCAGCCCACGGGCCGGUGCUCGGUGCUCGUCGUUGUCGUCGGCAGGUUGCGUCCUGCAUUUAUAUUUCGAAAAAAAAAAGGUUGCGUCCUGCACGCCAUGCUGUGCUCGCCGCGCGAGGUCCACGUGGAGCUCUCUUCGGAUUAUUUCAAGUUUGUUUCGGUCAGGGGUUCAUUUCAAGUUUUAUUUCGGGUCGGCGACGGCGAGGCGGCUCCUGCGAGCUCGCGCUGCCGCCGCCCGCCGGCCAGCUCCGGGAGACCCACCGCCAAGCAUAUCGUGGUCGCCUCCGUCAAAUCCACUCGCCCAGACGCUUCCACCAAUCCACAUUCUUCCCCGGGCGCGGGUCCCUAGGAGAUGCUUAAUUCAGCGGCGGCGUCGCCGGAGCAUCGAAUAACGCGGCGUCGCCGGAGCAUCGAAUAACGCGGCGGCGGCGGCGGCGGCGGCGGCGGCCCGCUGUGAUGAGACAGCGAGGGAUCCAAUCCAACCACUUCACCUAGCUACAUCCACGAGCUUCGCGAGCUCAUCGCCUCCACCACCGUCUCCGCCGGCUGCCCCCCGGGGCUCCGCGCACCUCAAGCUCAAGCUCCCCAAGGUCCUCCCAACCUCCUCCGCCACUACGUCAUCCAUCCCUUCCCCCAAAGGUUGAGCCAUGAGCUCAUAUUCGUUCAAUGCAGUUUGGAAUCGAUUCUCCAUUCUUCGCACAGGUGACCGAGGAGCCUGCGGAAGGUUCUUCCUGAAUCCAACAGAUCUACUAUUUGUGGCAUCAAUGCAUAAAAGGGUGUGCCUCUGUGGAUCUUUCUCAGAUAUAUUAGACUCACCUUACAGUGAGCUCCCAGACAGAUAAGACGCGGAAGUAGGAAAAACAAGCAAGAAGUUACGAGUCUUCUUGAUCAUAAAAGGGCACGAUCAUUGUAGUGAGUGGUGACAGUGGCAACUCCACAUCGCUGGUUGGACUCCUUGGAGGCAGGUAGAACCAACUGCUUUUGUUUUCUUACAUUCUGCAUUUCUGCAGUGUUAGAAAUGGUCUGUAUAGGCGAGGGACUAAAGCAGGUGCUUGAUAAACAGUGUGCUUACCUGUCGACUUCUCACUCAAGGGGAUAUUUGGCAGUAGUAGUAAUGGACUAAUGGUAGUGAUAAGGGUGCUCAUCUGAGGACUUAAAAAAUAAAAGAUACUUCUGG